GGAUGACUAGCUCAGCUGGUUAGAGCACUUCGUUCACAUCGAAGGGGUCGGGGGUUCGAGUCCCUCGUCAUCCACCA
rnacentral:tRNA from 1 species